rnacentral:rRNA from 1 species
UACGAAGGGGGCUAGCGUUGUUCGGAAUUACUGGGCGUAAAGCGCGCGUAGGCGGUGAUCUUUGUCAGAGGUGAAAGCCUGGGGCUCAACUCCAGAAUUGCCUUUGAAACGGGAUUGCUUGAGUCCGAGAGAGGAUGGCGGAAUUCCUAGUGUAGAGGUGAAAUUCGUAGAUAUUGGGAAGAACACCGGUGGCGAAGGCGGCGACCUGGUCCGUGACUGACGCUGAGGCGCGAAAGCGUGGGGAGCAAACAGG